AGGGAGUUCUCAUUCCUGACACGGCUCAUACAACUCCAGUUCAAGACAAUCUCGAAAAUCUCUCCAAUCAGGAUCCUGAAAUUGCUAAUAAAAAUCAAACUCAACAACCUCAAAAAACUGAAAUGCCAUUAAGGAGAUCCACUAUAGAGAGGAGAAAUGCAAUUUCGGAUGAUUAUGUUGUAUUUCUCCAAGAACAAGAAAGUGAU
rnacentral:lncRNA from 1 species